GACGAACGCUGGCGGCGUGCUUAACACAUGCAAGUCGAACGGAAAGGCCCUGCUUUUGUGGGGUGCUCGAGUGGCGAACGGGUGAGUAACACGUGAGUAACCUGCCCUUGACUUUGGGAUAACUUCAGGAAACUGGGGCUAAUACCGGAUAGGAGCUCCUGCUGCAUGGUGGGGGUUGGAAAGUUUCGGCGGUUGGGGAUGGACUCGCGGCUUAUCAGCUUGUUGGUGGGGUAGUGGCUUACCAAGGCUUUGACGGGUAGCCGGCCUGAGAGGGUGACCGGCCACAUUGGGACUGAGAUACGGCCCAGACUCCUACGGGAGGCAGCAGUGGGGAAUAUUGCACAAUGGGCGGAAGCCUGAUGCAGCACCGCCGCGUGCGGGGUGACGGCCUUCGGGUUGUAAACCGCUUUCGCCUGUGACGAAGCGUGAGUGACGGUAAUGGGUAAAGAAGCACCGGCUAACUACGUG
rnacentral:rRNA from 1 species